UACGUAGGGUGCAAGCGUUAAUCGGAAUUACUGGGCGUAAAGCGUGCGCAGGCGGCGAUGUAAGACAGUUGUGAAAUCCCCGGGCUCAACCUGGGAACUGCAUCUGUGACUGCAUCGCUGGAGUGCGGCAGAGGGGGAUGGAAUUCCGCGUGUAGCAGUGAAAUGCGUAGAUAUCGGAAGGACCAUCAGUGGCGAAAGCGACUUCCUGGACCAAUACUGACGCUCAUGUGCGAAAGCGUGGGGAGCAAACAGG
rnacentral:rRNA from 1 species